GAUGAUCUUCACUUCAUUUUUUGAGCAGUUCUUCAGCCUCUUUCAUCAGGAAGACAUGGUCCAAAUGAAGGCCCAAGUCAUCAGGAAGAGAGAGAGAGAGAGAGCAAGAGAGAGAGCCAAGGGUCUCAGUGACUGACAGUAGGCAGUGGUCUCUCACACUACAGCCUCUGGAGCAGUCACCAAGAGACCUUACUGAUGCUGAAAAGCAGGACGCUAUUCUCAGAGGGCCGGAGGACAUCGCAGCAGCUCUAAGAGACAUAAGUUCAAGUCUGAAGCAAUCACUGCAAAAUGUGAAAAACUAAAAAAAAAACAACAACAAACCCCCCCAUAAAAAUAAAGCUUACUAUGUGAAAUAAAUGGAUGGUGGAAUUACCUUCUGUUUAAGCUUUAUACCUGUGCUUUUCCAUGAUGAGGCUCCAAUGAACGCUAACCACAUACUAACUACGGACUUUGUUUAGGUCUCCUGAGCCUUUUGAGGAUCUGCAAGAGAGGGUGAAGCCAAGUCUUGAGUCAGUCCCUUCAGGACUUUGUGAUUUUUCCAAUCACAGAAACGAACAUAUAACCAGGCAAACUCUGCAAUAUCCAGAGGAGCUUGCAAUUUCUCAAAAUGUACUGCAGAUUUGUGCCAAGAUCCAUCUUGUGACAUCAUCACAAAGCAGAUUCAGCCCAAGCCUCUUCGAAUCAGGUGCGUUAAACAUGAGUAUAGCUAUCAUAGAAAGUAAUUACGUGUAUGUGUCUUAACUGGGAAUUUAAAAGAAGAAUUGUGUGCUCGCAGUUUUAUCAAUUCAAUUCAAUUUCUGAACAAAAAAAACUUGCUGCAGCAAAAUCAGUCAUGUUUAUACGUACUAGCAACCAGAGCCCACUCCACUAGCUAAUCUCAGACCCACAAAACUGUCCUGAAAAUCAUCCACUUUAUUCUUACCAGCUAUUGUGCAUCCACAUUAACAAUAUUGCACAAGAAUCACAAAAGUACAUAUUAACAGUGGCUUCUAU